rnacentral:rRNA from 1 species
GGGUUGUGAGGUUAAGCGACUAAGCGUACACGGUGGAUGCCCUGGCAGUCAGAGGCGAUGAAGGACGUGCUAAUCUGCGAUAAGCGUCGGUAAGGUGAUAUGAACCGUUAUAACCGGCGAUUUCCGAAUGGGGAAACCCAGUGUGUUUCGACACACUAUCAUUAACUGAAUCCAUAGGUUAAUGAGGCGAACCGGGGGAACUGAAACAUCUAAGUACCCCGAGGAAAAGAAAUCAACCGAGAUUCCCCCAGUAGCGGCGAGCGAACGGGGAGGAGCCCAGAGCCUGAAUCAGUGUGUGUGUUAGUGGAAGCGUCUGGAAAGGCGCGCGAUACAGGGUGACAGCCCCGUACACAAAAAUGCACAUGCUGUGAGCUCGAUGAGUAGGGCGGGACACGUGGUAUCCUGUCUGAAUAUGGGGGGACCAUCCUCCAAGGCUAAAUACUCCUGACUGACCGAUAGUGAACCAGUACCGUGAGGGAAAGGCGAAAAGAACCCCGGCGAGGGGAGUGAAAAAGAACCUGAAACCGUGUACGUACAAGCAGUGGGAGCCUCUUUAUGGGGUGACUGCGUACCUUUUGUAUAAUGGGUCAGCGACUUAUAUUCUGUAGCAAGGUUAACCGAAUAGGGGAGCCGAAGGGAAACCGAGUCUUAACUGGGCGUUAAGUUGCAGGGUAUAGACCCGAAACCCGGUGAUCUAGCCAUGGGCAGGUUGAAGGUUGGGUAACACUAACUGGAGGACCGAACCGACUAAUGUUGAAAAAUUAGCGGAUGACUUGUGGCUGGGGGUGAAAGGCCAAUCAAACCGGGAGAUAGCUGGUUCUCCCCGAAAGCUAUUUAGGUAGCGCCUCGUGAAUUCAUCUCCGGGGGUAGAGCACUGUUUCGGCAAGGGGGUCAUCCCGACUUACCAACCCGAUGCAAACUGCGAAUACCGGAGAAUGUUAUCACGGGAGACACACGGCGGGUGCUAACGUCCGUCGUGAAGAGGGAAACAACCCAGACCGCCAGCUAAGGUCCCAAAGUCAUGGUUAAGUGGGAAACGAUGUGGGAAGGCCCAGACAGCCAGGAUGUUGGCUUAGAAGCAGCCAUCAUUUAAAGAAAGCGUAAUAGCUCACUGGUCGAGUCGGCCUGCGCGGAAGAUGUAACGGGGCUAAACCAUGCACCGAAGCUGCGGCAGCGACGCUUAUGCGUUGUUGGGUAGGGGAGCGUUCUGUAAGCCUGUGAAGGUGUGCUGUGAGGCAUGCUGGAGGUAUCAGAAGUGCGAAUGCUGACAUAAGUAACGAUAAAGCGGGUGAAAAGCCCGCUCGCCGGAAGACCAAGGGUUCCUGUCCAACGUUAAUCGGGGCAGGGUGAGUCGACCCCUAAGGCGAGGCCGAAAGGCGUAGUCGAUGGGAAACAGGUUAAUAUUCCUGUACUUGGUGUUACUGCGAAGGGGGGACGGAGAAGGCUAUGUUGGCCGGGCGACGGUUGUCCCGGUUUAAGCGUGUAGGCUGGUUUUCCAGGCAAAUCCGGAAAAUCAAGGCUGAGGCGUGAUGACGAGGCACUACGGUGCUGAAGCAACAAAUGCCCUGCUUCCAGGAAAAGCCUCUAAGCAUCAGGUAACAUCAAAUCGUACCCCAAACCGACACAGGUGGUCAGGUAGAGAAUACCAAGGCGCUUGAGAGAACUCGGGUGAAGGAACUAGGCAAAAUGGUGCCGUAACUUCGGGAGAAGGCACGCUGAUAUGUAGGUGAAGUCCCUCGCGGAUGGAGCUGAAAUCAGUCGAAGAUACCAGCUGGCUGCAACUGUUUAUUAAAAACACAGCACUGUGCAAACACGAAAGUGGACGUAUACGGUGUGACGCCUGCCCGGUGCCGGAAGGUUAAUUGAUGGGGU